UACGGAGGGUGCAAGCGUUAUCCGGAUUUACUGGGUUUAAAGGGUGCGUAGGUGGAUUUGUAGGUCAGUGGUGAAAUCUCCGGGCUUAACCCGGAAACUGCCAUUGAUACUAUAAGUCUUGAAUUAUCUGGAGGUAAGCGGAAUAUGUCAUGUAGCGGUGAAAUGCUUAGAUAUGACAUAGAACACCAAUUGCGAAGGCAGCUUACUACGGAUAUAUUGACACUGAGGCACGAAAGCGUGGGGAUCAAACAGG
rnacentral:rRNA from 1 species